UCCUAAUAAAAUAAUUAGACGUGUUUAAUGGCUUAAAAAAAGACAUAUAAUAGCAAUGACUAUGACUUUCACAUAAAAUUGAUUUCAAGCCCUAUAACUGUUCGAUUCAAAGGAAUUUCAUAACUAAAAUAUGAUUGCUAUCUACUAACAAAUGGGCUAAGGAUUGGGCUGCGCUAUUCGGCCGUCACUUUUGUAAAACCCUCGCGACCUCUCAAUCUAUCUAUCCUCUUCAAUCGCUUCCUGAUCCCUCAGUUCCGCCAUGCCACUCCGCCGUGACCACUACGCCACACUAAUGCGCAGCCAUCAAGCUGCUAUCACUCGAGUCCUUUGAUCUACGAACCUGAAACAAGAUUAAGUUGUGAACCGCCACCGCAUACCGCCGAUGCACCACUGACCAGAGUUUUCGUUGCUGGCAUCUUCGUUCAUUGGAGUGGAUAUAGCUGGCAACACUAAUCGUCUCCGCGAAAGUAAUCCGUUUGCUCCGCUCUUCGGUGGUGGUUCCUAUGUUCGUUAAGGACUUCUUUUAUUAUUAUUUUGCUUUGCUUGGCUAAAUUAAGGUAAUCUGGGAUAACAUGGGAUUUCUGUGAGGAGCGUUAGGAAGUUGCUGACCAAGAUUCUUUAUUUCAGUAACGUAAUAAAAUGUAAUUAAGAUCUUUUAUUUAAUGUAAUGGAUUGGUUUUUAGUUUUGAUAUCUGUGAGAGUGACACGUCAGCCCUAUUCGGGUCGGGGUGUUACAAUUAUGGUAUCAGAGCUAAGGCUCUUUCCUGUAGAAAACUUAAACCUUAAAAACUAAACCUGUGAGUUAGUGGGUAGACGUUGGGUUAGGAUUUCAACUUUCGUCAACCUUUAUACUCUUGAGUUCGUCUUCUUUGGGUCUUUUGCUGAAGGCAUUCCUUUGUCGAUCUCUACUAAAUUUGCUUAUGAUCAUGUUCGGUAUCUGAAUCUGUU